rnacentral:rRNA from 2 species
CUGACCCCAUGCCGAACUCAGAAGUGAAACGCCGUAGCGCCGAUGGUAGUGUGGGGUUUCCCCAUGCGAGAGUAGGGAACUGCCAGGC